CUUCGGGUCUAGUGGUUCACUGGUGCGUAACGCGUGGGAACCUGCCUUUAGGUUCGGAAUAACUCAGAGAAAUUUGAGCUAAUACCGGAUGAUGUCUUCGGACCAAAGAUUUAUCGCCUUUAGAUGGGCCCGCGUUGGAUUAGCUAGUUGGUGGGGUAAAGGCCUACCAAGGCGACGAUCCAUAGCUGGUCUGAGAGGAUGAUCAGCCACACUGGGACUGAGACACGGCCCAGACUCCUACGGGAGGCAGCAGUGGGGAAUAUUGGACAAUGGGCGAAAGCCUGAUCCAGCAAUGCCGCGUGAGUGAUGAAGGCCUUAGGGUUGUAAAGCUCUUUUACCCGAGAUGAUAAUGACAGUAUCGGGAGAAUAAGCUCCGGCUAACUCCGUGCCAGCAGCCGCGGUAAUACGGAGGGAGCUAGCGUUGUUCGGAAUUACUGGGCGUAAAGCGCACGUAGGCGGCUUUUUAAGUCAGGGGUGAAAUCCCGGGGCUCAACCCCGGAACUGCCCUUGAAACUGGGAAGCUAGAAUCUUGGAGAGGCGAGUGGAAUUCCGAGUGUAGAGGUGAAAUUCGUUGAUAUUCGGAGGAACACCAGU
rnacentral:rRNA from 2 species